UACAGAGGGUGCAAACGUUGCUCGGAAUUACUGGGCGUAAAGCGCGUGUAGGUGGUCACGCAAGUCAGGUGUGAAAGCCCAGGGCUCAACCCUGGAAGUGCACAUGAUACUACGUGGCUGGAGUACUGAAGAGGAGAGCGGAAUUCCCGGUGUAGAGGUGAAAUUCGUAGAUAUCGGGAGGAACAGCAGUGGCGAAGGCGGCUCUCUGGGCAGAUACUGACACUGAGACGCGAAAGCGUGGGUAGCAAACAGG
rnacentral:rRNA from 1 species